rnacentral:rRNA from 1 species
AACGAACGCUGGCGGCAGGCCUAACACAUGCAAGUCGAACGCCCCGCAAGGGGAUUGGCAGACGGGUGAGUAACACGUGGGAACCUUCCCUAUAGUACGGAAUAGCCCAGGGAAACUUGGAGUAAUACCGUAUACGCCCGAAAGGGGAAAGAAUUUCGCUAUAGGAUGGGCCCGCGUAGGAUUAGCUAGUUGGUGAGGUAAUGGCUCACCAAGGCGACGAUCCUUAGCUGGUUUGAGAGAACGACCAGCCACACUGGGACUGAGACACGGCCCAGACUCCUACGGGAGGCAGCAGUGGGGAAUAUUGGACAAUGGGCGCAAGCCUGAUCCAGCCAUGCCGCGUGAGUGAUGAAGGCCUUAGGGUUGUAAAGCUCUUUUGGCGGGGACGAUAAUGACGGUACCCGCAGAAUAAGUCCCGGCUAACUUCGUG